rnacentral:rRNA from 1 species
UAAUACGAAGGGUGUGAGCGUUGUUCGGAUUUAUUGGGCGUAAAGCGCACGUAGGCGGAUUAAUAAGCCAGAUGUGAAAUCUCGGGGCUCAACCUCGAAACUGCGUCUGGAACUGUCAAUCUUGAAUAUUGGAGAGGGAAGGGGAAUUUCUCAUGUAGGGGUAAAAUCCGUAGAGAUGAGAAGGAACACCGGAGGCGAAAGCGCCUUCCUGGACAAUUAUUGACGCUGAGGUGCGAAAGCGUGGGGAGCAAACAGG